rnacentral:rRNA from 1 species
GGUGAACGCUGGCGGCGUGCUUAAGACAUGCAAGUCGAACGGGCUCUUCGGAGCCAGUGGCGCACGGGUGAGUAACGCGUCACUGACCUACCCCAAAGUCGCGGAUAACGAUUCGAAAGAAUCGCUAAUACGUGAUGUGCUGUCAGAUCCUGUUCUGCCAGUAAAGAUUUAUUGCUUUGGGAUGGGGUUUCGUUCCAUCAGCUAGUUGGUGGGGUAAAGGCCCACUAAGGCGACGACGGAUCGCCGGCCUGAGAGGGUGGACGGCCACAGGGGCACUGAGACACGGGUCCCACUCCUACGGGAGGCAGCAGUUAGAAAUCUUCCACAAUGGGCGAAAGCCUGAUGGAGCGACGCCGCGUGAGGGAUGAAGGUCUUCGGAUCGUAAACCUCUGAAUCAGGGACGAAAGACGCGAGAGCGGGAUGACGGUACCUGAGUAAUAGCACCGGCUAACUCCGUG